AGAGUUUGAUCAUGGCUCAGAUUGAACGCUGGCGGCGUGCUUAACACAUGCAAGUCGUGCGAGAAAGGGGACUUCGGUCCCUGAGUAGAGCGGCGCACGGGUGAGUAACGCGUGGAUAAUCUACCCAGAUAUUCGGGAUAACGGCGGGAAACUGCCGCUAAUACCGGAUACGCUCCAAUUUCGGUUGGGGGAAAGGCGGCCUCUGCUUGCAAGCUGUCGUAUCUGGAUGAGUCCGCGUCCCAUUAGCUUGUUGGUGGGGUAAUGGCCUACCAAGGCGACGAUGGGUAGCUGGUCUGAGAGGAUGAUCAGCCACACUGGAACUGAAACACGGCCCAGACUCCUACGGGAGGCAGCAGUGGGGAAUAUUGCGCAAUGGGGGAAACCCUGACGCAGCGACGCCGUGUGAGGGAAGAAGGCUUUCGGGUCGUAAACCUCUGUCGGGGAGGAAGAACCUUCCAGGGCUGAACAAGUCCUGGAACUGACGGUACCUCCAAAGGAAGCACCGGCUAACUCCGUGCCAGCAGCCGCGGUAAAUACGGAGGGGUGCAAGGCGUUAAUCGGGAAUCACUGGGGCGUAAAGCGCGCGUAGGCGGACUUUUAAGUCCGGACGGGAAAGCCCUCGGCUCACCGGGGGACUGCGUUCCAAACUGGGAGGCUG
rnacentral:rRNA from 1 species